rnacentral:lncRNA from 1 species
GGGUUUGAAGUACUGCGUGUCGUCUUCAGAGUUGUUUUCCUGGAGGCGCUGAUACCGGACUUGGUGGAGAAGGAUGGUAUGAAUGUGUUUCUAGGUGGCUGCCUGGACAAGGGAGUUCAGCCUUUGGGAGAUAAAGCAGAAUAUAAAGGGUCACACUCUGUCACCCAGACUGGAGUGCAGUGGCGCAAUCUCAGCUCGCUGUAGACUCAACCUCCUGGGCUCAAGCGAUUCUCCCACCUCAGCCUUCUGACUUUGCCUCGGGAGAGAAAAAGAGAGUCGAUUCCGAGUACAGCUGGGCCACUGGGACUGCAUUCCUGCCUGUGAGGAGGACAGCCUGUCAAUGAGCCAGAAGGGGCUAACAGAGGUUGUACUUACAGGUUCUCAAGUUUUGCUAUCAUAAACACCCAAAGUACACCACGCCGGCAAGCUGAAGGCUGACAGGAUAGAAAACUUGCACAAGACAGUUAACAUUGUAGCGAUCAUCUUGCCAAACAGAGGGCAGCAAUGCUUGUGUCUUGGUCGGAAAGGAGUUGGAGUGAAGUCACACAGGCAACCUUCAGUUGCAGGGUCAAGAAGAGCCACAUUCAAACCUGACUAUAUGAAAUAAUUAUCACCCAGAGAUAUUGGACUUGGAAUAGAAUAGAGAAA